UCUCAUAAUUUCAAAUCUAAAUAGUGAGAAAAAAGCUUUUCAAAUUUUGAAAAUGUCGUCCGCAUUGAAAUAUUUGGCUGCCUUGGCCCUCAUUUCCGCCGCCGCUUCUGUGACAGCAUCUUCGCUGAGCACAGCAUCUUCGCUUCUUUUAACCUUACUGAGGUCAGUAUCGUCCAAAAGACGGCCGACAAUUCAAGGGGCGUCGUGAGAAACAUUACUCGCUGUGGUGGGUACGGAACACCAAUUCAACUCAGAGUUUCGGAUUGCGAGGGACGCUGUGCUUUCAUACCUGGACGAGUGUACGACAUUGAGUAUGAUUUCAUGCCAAGCUCUGCCGCACCGUCGCUCAGUUUGGCGGUUGACCUCGUGUACCUCGGAACUCAGCACCGUCUCUUUGACUUCGUCCUGCCAGACUCUGUCCAACCUGGUUUCGUAUACACCGUGAGGUACAGCAUCGUACCGAAUGAUGUCCUCGCUGGGAACGCGGUUCUUCUUCGUGCCAUCAUUUAUCACACGGACAACCGAAUUUUGGAGGUUUGCAGCCAGACGGAAGCCGAUAUCUUGAACCUUCCAUAAAUUGCGGGGUUAAAAGAUUAGUUAAUAAAUAUGUAUUGUUACUAA